GGUGAACGCUGGCGGUAGGCCUAACACAUGCAAGUCGAACGGCAGCACAGUAAGAGCUUGCUCUUACGGGUGGCGAGUGGCGGACGGGUGAGGAAUACAUCGGAAUCUACUUUUUCGUGGGGGAUAACGUAGGGAAACUUACGCUAAUACCGCAUACGACCUACGGGUGAAAGCAGGGGAUCUUCGGACCUUGCGCGAUUGAAUGAGCCGAUGUCGGAUUAGCUAGUUGGCGGGGUAAAGGCCCACCAAGGCGACGAUCCGUAGCUGGUCUGAGAGGAUGAUCAGCCACACUGGAACUGAGACACGGUCCAGACUCCUACGGGAGGCAGCAGUGGGGAAUAUUGGGCAAAGGGCGCAAGCCUGAUCCAGCCAUACCGCGUGGGUGAAGAAGGCCUUCGGGUUGUAAAGCCCUUUUGUUGGGAAAGAAAAGCAGCAGGUUAAUACCCCGCUGUUCUGACGGUACCCAAAGAAUAAGCACCGGCUAACUUCGUG
rnacentral:rRNA from 1 species